CCACGCCGUAAACUAUGAUUACUCGGAGUUUGAAAUUAAUUUAAGCUCCCAAGCGAAAGCGAUAAGUAAUCCACCUGGGGAGUACGUCGGCAACGAUGAAACUCAAAGGAAUUGACGGGGGCCCGCACAAGCGGAGGAACAUGUGGUUUAAUUCGAUGAUACGCGAGGAACCUUACCCGGGCUUGAACUGCAGGAGACGGUUGGCAGAGAUGCCAUCCUCCCUUCGGGGCUCCUGUGGAGGUGCUGCAUGGUUGU
rnacentral:rRNA from 1 species